GGUUAAGCGACUAAGCGUACACGGUGGAUGCCCUGGCAGUCAGAGGCGAUGAAGGACGUGCUAAUCUGCGAUAAGCGUCGGUAAGGUGAUAUGAACCGUUAUAACGGCGAUUUCCGAAUGGGGAAACCAGUGUGAUUCGUCUAUCAUAUCAUUAAUCCAUAGGUUAUGAGGCGAACCGGGGGAACUGAAACAUCUAAGUACCCCGAGGAAAAGAAAUCAACCGAGAUUCCCCCAGUAGCGGCGAGCGAACGGGGAGCAGCCAGAGCCUGAAUCAGUGUGUGUGUUAGUGGAAGCGUCUGGAAAGGCGCGCGAUACAGGGUGACAGCCCGUACACAAAAAUGCACAUGCUGUGAGCUCGAUGAGUAGGGCGGGACACGUGGUAUCCUGUCUGAAUAUGGGGGGACCAUCCUCCAAGGCUAAAUACUCCUGACUGACCGAUAGUGAACCAGUACCGUGAGGGAAAGGCGAAAAGAACCCCGGCGAGGGGAGUGAAAAAGAACCUGAAACCGUGUACGUACAAGCAGUGGGAGCACGCUUAGGCGUGUGACUGCGUACCUUUUGUAUAAUGGGUCAGCGACUUAUAUUCUGUAGCAAGGUUAACCGAAUAGGGGAGCCGAAGGGAAACCGAGUCUUAACUGGGCGUUAAGUUGCAGGGUAUAGACCCGAAACCCGGUGAUCUAGCCAUGGGCAGGUUGAAGGUUGGGUAACACUAACUGGAGGACCGAACCGACUAAUGUUGAAAAAUUAGCGGAUGACUUGUGGCUGGGGGUGAAAGGUCAAUCAAACCGGGAGAUAGCUGGUUCUCCCCGAAAGCUAUUUAGGUAGCGCCUCGUGAAUUCAUCUCCGGGGGUAGAGCACUGUUUCGGCAAGGGGGUCAUCCCGACUUACCAACCCGAUGCAAACUGCGAAUACCGGAGAAUGUUAUCACGGGAGACACACGGCGGGUGCUAACGUCCGUCGUGAAGAGGGAAACAACCCAGACCGCCAGCUAAGGUCCCAAAGUCAUGGUUAAGUGGGAAACGAUGUGGGAAGGCCCAGACAGCCAGGAUGUUGGCUUAGAAGCAGCCAUCAUUUAAAGAAAGCGUAAUAGCUCACUGGUCGAGUCGGCCUGCGCGGAAGAUGUAACGGGGCUAAACCAUGCACCGAAGCUGCGGCAGCGACGCUUAUGCGUUGUUGGGUAGGGGAGCGUUCUGUAAGCCUGUGAAGGUGUGCUGUGAGGCAUGCUGGAGGUAUCAGAAGUGCGAAUGCUGACAUAAGUAACGAUAAAGCGGGUGAAAAGCCCGCUCGCCGGAAGACCAAGGGUUCCUGUCCAACGUUAAUCGGGGCAGGGUGAGUCGACCCCUAAGGCGAGGCCGAAAGGCGUAGUCGAUGGGAAACAGGUUAAUAUUCCUGUACUUGGUGUUACUGCGAAGGGGGGACGGAGAAGGCUAUGUUGGCCGGGCGACGGUUGUCCCGGUUUAAGCGUGUAGGCUGGUUUUCCAGGCAAAUCCGGAAAAUCAAGGCUGAGGCGUGAUGACGAGGCACUACGGUGCUGAAGCAACAAAUGCCCUGCUUCCAGGAAAAGCCUCUAAGCAUCAGGUAACAUCAAAUCGUACCCCAAACCGACACAGGUGGUCAGGUAGAGAAUACCAAGGCGCUUGAGAGAACUCGGGUGAAGGAACUAGGCAAAAUGGUGCCGUAACUUCGGGAGAAGGCACGCUGAUAUGUAGGUGAAGUCCCUCGCGGAUGGAGCUGAAAUCAGUCGAAGAUACCAGCUGGCUGCAACUGUUUAUUAAAAACACAGCACUGUGCAAACACGAAAGUGGACGUAUACGGUGUGACGCCUGCCCGGUGCCGGAAGGUUAAUUGAUGGGGUCAGCGCAAGCGAAGCUCUUGAUCGAAGCCCCGGUAAACGGCGGCCGUAACUAUAACGGUCCUAAGGUAGCGAAAUUCCUUGUCGGGUAAGUUCCGACCUGCACGAAUGGCGUAAUGAUGGCCAGGCUGUCUCCACCCGAGACUCAGUGAAAUUGAACUCGCUGUGAAGAUGCAGUGUACCCGCGGCAAGACGGAAAGACCCCGUGAACCUUUACUAUAGCUUGACACUGAACAUUGAGCCUUGAUGUGUAGGAUAGGUGGGAGGCUUAGAAGUGUGGACGCCAGUCUGCAUGGAGCCGACCUUGAAAUACCACCCUUUAAUGUUUGAUGUUCUAACGUUGACCCGUAAUCCGGGUUGCGGACAGUGUCUGGUGGGUAGUUUGACUGGGGCGGUCUCCUCCUAAAGAGUAACGGAGGAGCACGAAGGUUGGCUAAUCCUGGUCGGACAUCAGGAGGUUAGUGCAAUGGCAUAAGCCAGCUUGACUGCGAGCGUGACGGCGCGAGCAGGUGCGAAAGCAGGUCAUAGUGAUCCGGUGGUUCUGAAUGGAAGGGCCAUCGCUCAACGGAUAAAAGGUACUCCGGGGAUAACAGGCUGAUACCGCCCAAGAGUUCAUAUCGACGGCGGUGUUUGGCACCUCGAUGUCGGCUCAUCACAUCCUGGGGCUGAAGUAGGUCCCAAGGGUAUGGCUGUUCGCCAUUUAAAGUGGUACGCGAGCUGGGUUUAGAACGUCGUGAGACAGUUCGGUCCCUAUCUGCCGUGGGCGCUGGAGAACUGAGGGGGGCUGCUCCUAGUACGAGAGGACCGGAGUGGACGCAUCACUGGUGUUCGGGUUGUCAUGCCAAUGGCACUGCCCGGUAGCUAAAUGCGGAAGAGAUAAGUGCUGAAAGCAUCUAAGCACGAAACUUGCCCCGAGAUGAGUUCUCCCUGACUCCUUGAGAGUCCUGAAGGAACGUUGAAGACGACGACGUUGAUAGGCCGGGUGUGUAAGCGCAGCGAUGCGUUGAGCUAACCGGUACUAAUGAACCGUGAGGCUUAACCUU
rnacentral:rRNA from 1 species